rnacentral:lncRNA from 1 species
AUGAUCUCUGGUGGACUUGUAAGGAUCCUGGGCUGGCUCUGCCAGCCAUUCUGUUUGUUUUCUUUUUUCGUCCUGGACCACGCCUUCUCCCUCACUAGGACACACCUCAGCUCUGGACCAUCCCCACUCCCUCUCUUUUCCCCUGUAGACAGUAAUCAGUUCAAUUUGCCACACCUGCACUUGCCCUCGGGAUCCCUUCAAAGACUCCUGCAGCACAGCACUCUGUGCUGGGUCAUUUCCAUAUACCACUUCCAUACACCACUGUUAUACGCUGUGAUACGCCACUCUGUCCUUGUUUCACCAUGCCGUUCGUGUCAGGACUCUAAACGUGUUCAAUGCCCUCACACUCAACUUCACCAGCCACACUCGCACACGAACGCACCAUGAAAGAGCAAAACUAAUAACCCACAAGGCUUCAUUCUGAAGACAAGCGCUUUGCAAAAACAUUCAAUACGAAUCAGCGUGAUCUUGCAUCCUCACUUCAAAGCGUCGAAGGCCGACGCAGGACUGUUUAUUUCAGCCAUUAACAAGGGAGAGGAAGUGGAGCCGCUACUGGCAGCGAGUCAGAGGUUUCGAAUUCCUGAGAGAAGUGUGGACAAACACGCACGCAUGGGGCUGUGAAAGUGCAAGAACAGCGAGAGUUGGAGCAUUCUGGGAGUUGGAGAUACAAAGUCUUUUUGUACUCGACUGACACAGAGCUGGAGAGUUCCUACCAGAACAUGAUGCAAGGCGUUUCUGUCCCACGGCUCAGGUUCUGUUUUUACAGCAUCACUAGUGCAGAGGCUGCAACACAAAGAGACUGCAUACAUGUAGGUUGAGUGCUUCAUCCCGUUACACUGGGAAGGGGAUUCCCCUGGUAGCAGCCUUUCAUUAGAAAAAGUUAGAGGAAGUUUCUAUAUGAUCCACUCUGUUCCCAUAAUCACUAUUUAAGAUGAACACAGAUCAGCCAGGAACAACCAGCGCGGCCUAAUGUUUGGUUUUCCGUUAAAGGGAAACUCAUCAGUGUAAUUGGUUGGAAUUAAGAGAAGGGUUCACCCUUGGACAGUGCAAAGGGCUGCAACAUCUCCACUUUCAUUAAAAACAUAAAACAAGCACAUCAUACAUCUCAUACUAUUAGUAAAUAGAAAUGGGCCUUCCCCUCCGAACCUAUCAAUCUCAUUAGUAUUAUCUGAAGAGAAGCGAGCGCCCACGCCAGUGACACUGAACAUCUCUAUCGCAAUUAUACAUAAUUAAUAUAGUGAAGAAGUUCAAUCUCAGUAAAUACACAGUGACCUGCAGCCAACAACAUUAUGCGGUCACAAAUAAAACUUUCUUAGCUUCCA